AUACGUAGGUCCCGAACGUUGCGCGAAAUUACUGGGCGUAAAGGGUCCGUAGGCGGUCUGGUAAGUGGAAGGUGAAAGCCUGGGGCUCAACUCCAGAAUUGCCUUCCAAACUGCCGGACUUGAGGCAGGGAGAGGUCGGCGGAAUUCCCGGUGUAGCGGUGAAAUGCGUAGAUAUCGGGAGGAAAACCAGUGGCGAAGGCGGCCGACUGGAACUGUCCUGACGCUGAGGGACGAAAGCCAGGGGAGCGAACCGGAUUAGAAACCCUAGUAGUCC
rnacentral:rRNA from 1 species